AUAACAUUCUUCUAUAUAUAAACUGAGGUUGCAAUUAUCUGACCAUGUAUUUUUGAAUUUUGUUUUCCAUUGAACAUUCAAAACAUCCAGAAGGAAGCAGUUGAGUAGAAAAGCACUUAGGGAAUGAUGUCGAUCUUGCACAUUCAGCUUUAUGUAUGUAGUCUCACUCUCAUCUUAUUUAAUUUAUUUAUAUCAGUUGAAUAAAGAAAUAUAGCCUCUUAGGAUCUAAAUCAGCAAUUGUAAAAUUGAUCGAUACUUGUGCUCGCUCACAGCAGAUGUUAAUUUUUUUAUUUUACAGUACAUUUGGAUGUCGGAGUUCAUUGCAAUACCACAUAAGCAUCAUUUGAAAGCUUGAUUUUGUCAUUGAAUUUAAUGUAUUUGUCCUUAUAAUAUUUUCACCGACACUGGCCUUUUACCUACUCCUAUUAAUAUAUAGUAGCAAACAAGUCCUUGACUCCUUCAGGAGUAUUCAGUAAGACUAAAAAGCUGAAAAAGAUAUUAAUGCCUUCAGGUAAUUGUUUCUUCGUGUACCAUAUAUGGUAGUUUGGUAAAAAAGAAAAAGAAAACAAUGGAGCAAGUUAAAAUAUAAUAUGUUUAUCAAAAAGGCAGAAGGUAAUCGAUGAGCAAACAUAUUACAUUCUAAUAUUUUUCUUUUCUUUUCUUGAUAUGUUAUUUCCUUUGCUGAUCCUUCCCUUCUUCAUAUGAACAGGCCCCCAGCUAGAUUGACGAGAAAGUUCAUUUUGCACAUGGUCUUUUCUGGUUUUAUCCUUGUAGCAAGAAGUACAUUUUUAUAACAAUAUCAGCUUUGCUUUGGUGUGUGCAAUGAUUUCAUUCAGAUACAAGACCUUUUGGAAAUUGUGGUUUUCUUUUGUAUUUUUGUCCUAAUAUGUUCUGUUGCUGGAUUGAAUUACUCUCUCAGCAUUUUUAUUUUGACAUAUUAUAAUGCUCAGUUUGUUUACAGGCUGCUGAAUACUGUCGGAGGAAGGAAUCAGUGCUAAGGUGAUCAACCUUCGAUCAGUUAGGCCACUGGAUAGAGCUGCGAUAAAAGCAUAUGUUACGAAAAUAAAUAGGUUGGUGAUUCUUGAAGAAGGCUCCCCCCAACAUCGUGUUGGUGCUGAGAUAUGGUUUUCUCUCUCUCUCCACACACACAUCAUGUCAGGUUCGCAUGCAGUGACGGAGAUUUCAUCGGCUCGCCUCCAUUUUCUUGGUGAACCCACAUUUCCCUCUAAGGUACAUUCUGAAGGAGAAGAUUGCUGGUCGAGAAGGCCAUUUAUCUGAUAUUAGUUUAUUGAAGAAAUUGCCAUGAUGUAUUUUCGGUACAUUAGGAUUUUUUGUAGUCGCAUUGUUCUGAUAGGAAGAUACCAUUGCUACCAGGUCAACAAUCUCCCCUUCAAUAAUAUUUGAUUUACAUUUUGUAUGCCAUUCAUCGAGUCAAUGUGGAUUACAAUGACCACUUGUAUGUUUUGAUUGCAGUACUUCUCUAUGCUAUUUCACUAUUUUGGGCUCA